CGUAUACCAAAUCUAGAACAUGAGAUUUAAACAAUUUGUGAUACCAUGUCCAGUUUUCGAAAGAUAUUAUCACAACUCAUGUUCAUGACAGUUAACAUAAAAUAAUUAUUAUCUACGGCGUGUUUUGAGGUUAGUGUCCGUAUGAACAACAUAAAUUUUAAGUGGACGUUGGAGUAUAAUAAUAUAUUGGAUAGAUUGAUAAUAAAAGCACAUUCAAUGCUUCUUGAAAUAUCUGUUUAUGUCCGUCACCGCAACUUUAGGGAUUACUGUUUUCAUCGGAAGAAUGUAUUAUAAAAAUUGUCUGGCGCUUCAACGGUUAUGCGAAGACUAUCUGACAUUUUCUAUAUUUCAUUUAAUCACCAGUUUGUGUCUUAUAUCUGGAAUUAUUUGGGAAGAACCUUUAGUUGUUCUGUUAUAUGAAGUGAUUCAUCUGUCAACAGUUGUAGCUUUCCUCACCCAUACAUUUAUCUUUAUACCUUUUGGAAAGAUUUUCUGCGCAAUAUGUGUUUCAUCAUGUUUUGUACUUUACUGUCUGUACAAUGUUAAUGGGUAUUACAACGAACUGAAGGUAAAGAAAAAGUAUUUAAAAGAAAGUAUUUAUUUCAAUGAAGAUAUCUACUUCCGUAAUCAAAAUGUACAAUGAAGUUUUAAACAUACAUACAAUAAAUAUAAAAUAUAUUACUAAUUCUAUUUUUUUUUCUUCACUUCUUCAACAUCACAAUUUUAGCAGGGAAAAUCGCUUCACAUAAAAUGUUUUAUUUGCUUUCUAUUCUGUUUGGAAUAAAAGACCUUAAAGUUGUUUGGUAAAUGUCAAAUCCACAAAAAAUGUAUUUUUCCUUCAUCGUUGAUUUCUUAUUUCAUUAUAUAAAUGCAAAAUGAUUUUUUCAAUAUUGAACCAGAGUCUCCUGAUUAUAUAUUGGAAAAUAGAAGAAAGAAAUGUUUCUUGUAUGUUACAAUAGAGGACUGAAAUAUCUUUAUUUCACUACCACACCCUAUAUAUUUUUCAAUGUUUCAAAUGUUUUGUUACCAUAUAUUGGGUAUCUUACAUCAUAUUAUUAUGUAUCUUUAUAAAUAAAACAAAUGUUUCGGAUUAUUUCAAUAUUAUGUUUUUCAAAAACACUUUUAACAAUUUUAAUUUAAUGAGUAUCUACAUUUUUUGUGACUUCUUUAUUCAGCUAGCUACAACACUAAAUGUGGAGCAAAAACUCACGUUUAUUAUAAAAAAUUUAAUCAGUUCACAACUUGACAUUUACUUAUUAGCUUACCUCAAGAGUUUUUGUUUUUGCGGUGAUUUAUAUGAGAAGGUAUGAAAGACACUUUGGGUAUAAUGUAAGUCUUUAUUUAAAAGUAAUUAGUAAUUACAUAAGCAUCUUACUGUUUAACGAGUCGAAGGAUGCUCUUAUUCCAAAACUCCUGUGAUUGUGACAAUAACCACUCUUGUACUGUGUCACUCAGUUUGUCGCACAUGUUAUUUUUUAAUACAGAUGGAAGUUACAAGGCGAUAUUCGAAGUUUAAGGUUCGGUACUUAACCUUAUCCCACUUAAACUUGGUCAUUACCCUUUGUGUGACCGUGAAGACGUGUGUACGCGCGGAAUCACUCCUUCCGUUAGCAGCCUGAGCCGUUUGAUCUUGUUGUCGUAGUCUAAGGAAUGUCUCACUAUUAAUGGCUUUUCUGUGGCAUAGUCGAUGCACCUGGGACGUUAUAAAAGACGAUGAUCAUCACUUUACCUGCUACGGCGUCAGACAUGCGCAUAACCAGGCCAGAUUUCUACAUUUGCGUCCCUAUAUGUCUCACUACUACAUUCAAAGCCUCAUAUUCAAAUUAUAACCGAUUUGAUUAUUUUUUCUUUUUCAUUUGAACAUUCUGAUAUAUACCAGAGUCACUCUGUAUAUUAUAACUAGAAGCUGGCAAUACAGGCAUACUGGCAAAGAUUAAUAGGUUAUUGAUGAAACAUAUAUACCAUUUUAUAACAUUUCUACUUGCCAGUAGAGCCUCAUGUGGAGAUUAACCAACAUCAACAAUGGGGAAAAAGGUCUGUCAAGAAAGUUUGCACGCAAUUCUCUUUCAUACUAGAGGAUUAGUGAAAUCAAUUGAGCUUAAAGAUCAAUGGACAGUUACAGCGAACUGGUAUACCACAAAAUGUUCACCUGCAGUUCUUGAGUCGGUCAAUAAUCAAGUUUUAAUGUUGCAUCACGAUAAUUCAUCGAUACACAUCAGCAGACCGUUGAAUUUUUACGUCAAAAUAAUGUAAUAGUAAUUGAAUUUGAACCUUAUUUGCCCGAUUUGGCCAUGUGUUAUUUCUGCUUAUUCUUCAACCUAAAGAAAUAUUUACGUCGUCGACGUUUCACGAUAGAUGAAGCAUGAUGAGAUAGAUGAAGCAAUUCAUCAAUUUUUUUAAGAGUUCUUCAAGAGAUGACUGGCUUUAAGCUUUUAAGUUUCAGUAGCUUCGUUUAUAAAGUGCAUUGAUGUAUGUGGUGAUUAAUUUCAACAUAAAUAAAAUCAUUUCCCUAAAACGACUUGUAGCUUUCUUGUGUCUCAAAAUAUGUAGCGUCACUCGUAUAUUGGUAUUUAAUCUUUAGGAUUAUUAUAGAUUUAACGUAUUAUCCACUAAAAAGCAAUAAGUGUAACAAGAUACAUAUAAAAAACCAAUGGAAUUUGGAUGACUAUAAUAUGAGCAGGUAAUUAACAUUAAAUUUAAAACAUAGUUCUUAAAUUCUACUCGGUAAGAAAAUUUAUACAAAAACAUCAACUAAUCUAGGCACAUUCAUUAUUGCUCUUCACUUGAAAACGUAUAAUGCCUGAUUUCUUUAAAACGAUUGUUAAUAAGUUUAGUCUCUCAUUUUAUUUUAUUGUGAUUAUUAUGUAUUAACAAUUUCGAAAGAUUUGUUAUUGUAAUAUAUAAUAACGCAAUUUCUAAUCAAAAUAACAGAAUGUAAAACAACUUCAAAGUGUAAUGUUAACUUAAAUUUGUUUACAUGGAGUACCAGAAUCUGUAACAAGUCAAUACUUAAACUAUUUAGCUGUUCUAUUUCAAUAUUCAUUAGUAUUAUUUUCGAAAUUUUUGUGUAGAAGACUUAACAUGAACCUUUUAAUUUGAAUAAUAACACUAAAAUUUGCAAUUUUGGAAUGGAAACGUUGUUAUAUCAGAAAAUCCAAGAGCAGCGUUGAUAUUAGAUACUAUAGAAAAAAUUCAACAGCUUUUUAGUAAUUAUCAAAAAAUGAACUUUUGUAAAAAUUUUCGGUUUGGUUGGAAAAUUGAAAAAAAAUUAUUUUUGUGAAAUUUUGCACAAAGAGGUUUAUUGAUAAGAGUAUUUUGGGAAAGAUAUAGGUUGUGAAAAAAAUUAUGAAUGGAAAACUGGAUUUUCGGAAAACCAUUAAUUUGAAAAGUAAUAUUGCUCUUAAACCUUGAAAGGAAAAGACAUGAUACCUUUCCACAUACUUUCACUAUAAACGCAUAUUAUCAAUUUUUUGGCAAAAAUCUGCAACAUGUUGAAAAAUAUUAAACAUACUCGAAUAAAAACUUCCGAGAUAUUGACUAUUUCUUAUGUUUGAUUCGCACUAACUAUAACACUAUAAAAAUUCAUAGUAUCCUACAGUUGUGGAAUGGACACGUAGUAAUAUAAAAAAAUCCAAAGAAGAUUGUUGGUACUAUCAUAGACAAAAUACAACAGCUUUCUCAUUAUUAUACAAAUCUAGUUAAAAAACAUUGAAUUUGAAAUUUUGAAACAAAAUUUCUCUGAUAUUGAUAAAACCUUGUUACAUACAGUAAAAUAGUAAUAUAGGAUGGGCCAUGAAUUUUAUAACUGAAGCCGCGGAACCGACUUCUUGGAAACGUAGUCACAAUGGAUCACUUCACGCGAAAACAACGCGCGUUCUGUGUGAAGCAAUUUUACAAAAAGAAUGAUUCUUAUGUCAUUACUCGCCAUUUAGUUCGUUCGUAUGACCAAUUACACAAU